rnacentral:rRNA from 1 species
UACAGAGGUCCCAAGCGUUGUUCGGAAUCACUGGGCUUAAAGCGUGUGUAGGCGGAUCGUUAAGUGCCUUGUGAAAUCCCACAGCUUAACUGUGGAACUGCUUGGCAUACUGGCGGUCUUGAGCCAUCUAGGGGUUGCUGGAACAAACGGUGGAGCGGUGAAAUGCGUAGAUAUCGUUUGGAACGCCAAUGGUGAAAACAGGCAACUGGGGAUGUGCUGACGCUGAGACACGAAAGCCAGGGGAGCAAACGGGG